rfam:Agrilus planipennis Contig40599, whole genome shotgun sequence.
AGAUAGGUUUUUCUCAAAACCACAACUUUUGUUAGUCAUUUCUAAG